UACGUAGGGUGCGAGCGUUAAUCGGAAUUACUGGGCGUAAAGCGUGCGCAGGCGGUCCGCAAAGUCUGAUGUGAAAGCCCCGGGCUCAACCUGGGAACUGCAUUGGAAACUAACGGGCUCGAGUGUGGCAGAGGGGGGUGGAAUUCCACGUGUAGCAGUGAAAUGCGUAGAGAUGUGGAGGAACACCGAUGGCGAAGGCAGCCCCCUGGGCUAACACUGACGCUCAGGCACGAAAGCGUGGGGAGCAAAC
rnacentral:rRNA from 2 species